rnacentral:rRNA from 1 species
AGAGUUUGAUCAUGGCUCAGAUUGAACGCUGGCGGCAUGCCUUACACAUGCAAGUCGAACGGCAGCACGGGGGCAACCCUGGCGGGGAGUGGGGAACGGGUGAGUAAUGCAUCGCAACGUGCCCUGAAGUGGGGGAUAACGUACCAAAGGUUACGCUAAUACCGCAUAUUCUGUGAGCAGGAAAGCAGGAGAUCGCCCGACCUUGCGCUUUAGGAGCGAUCGAUGUCGAAUUAAUUAGUUGGUGGGGGAAAGGCCUACCAAGGCAACGAUCCAUACCGGGUCUGACAGGAUGAUCCGCCACACUGGGACUGACACACGGCCCAUACUCCUACCGAAGGCAGCAGUGGGGAAUUUUGAACAAUGGGCGCAAGCCUGAUCCAUCCAUGCCUCGUGAGUGAAUAAGGACUUCCGUUUGUAAAGCUCUUUCUUCGGGCAAGAAAUUGCACUCGUUAAUACCGGGUGUAGAUGACUGUACCCGCAUAAAAAGCACCGGCUAACUACGUGCCAGCAGCCGCGGUAAUACGUACGGAGCGAGCGUUAAUCGGAAUUACUGACCGUAAAGCGUGCGCACGUGGUUGUGUAAGUCAGAUGUAAGAUCCCCGGGCUCAAUCUGCGAACUGCCUUUGAGACUGCACGGCUAGAGGAUGGCAGAUAGAGGUAGAAUUCCACGUGUAUCAGUGAAAUGCGUACAGAUGUAUAGGAAUACCGAUGGCGACGCAGCCGCUGCGCUAUUUCUGACUCUCAUGCACGAAGCGUGCGGAGCAACAGAUGAAUACCUGCUAGUCACGCCUAACGAUGUCACUAGAUGUUGGAAGGGUUAAACCUUUUAGUGUCGUAGCUAACGCGUGAAGUUGACCGCCUGGGGAGUACGGCCGCAAGGCUAAAACUCAAA